UACGAAGGGGGCUAGCGUUGUUCGGAAUUACUGGGCGUAAAGCGCACGUAGGCGGAUACUUAAGUCAGGGGUGAAAUCCCGGGGCUCAACCCCGGAACUGCCUUUGAUACUGGGUAUCUCGAGUCCGGAAGAGGUGAGUGGAAUUCCGAGUGUAGAGGUGAAAUUCGUAGAUAUUCGGAGGAACACCAGUGGCGAAAGCGGCUUCCUGGUCCAGCACCGACGUCAGGCACGAAAGCGUGGGGAGCAAACAGG
rnacentral:rRNA from 1 species